rnacentral:rRNA from 4 species
GUAUACCCUUCGGGUGACUACUUUAGUGGCGAACGGGUGCGUAACACGUGAGAAUCUGCCUUUAGGAAGAGGAUAACUUUUAGAGAUAAAAGCUAAUACUUUAUAUGCCAUUGGUGAAAGAAGAAAUUCGCCUAAAGAGGAGCUCGCGUCUGAUUAGCUAGUUGGUGGGGUAAGAGCCUACCAAGGCGACGAUCAGUAGCUGGUUUGAGAGGAUGAUCAGCCACAUUGGAACUGAGACACGGUCCAGACUCCUACGGGAGGCAGCAGUAAGGAAUAUUCUGCAAUGGGCGCAAGCCUGACAGAGCAAUACCGCGUGAGGGACGACUGCCUACGGGUUGUAAACCUCUUUUCUCAAGGAGGAAGAACUGACGUUACUUGAGGAAUAAGCAACGGCUAACCCUGUGCCAGCAGCCGCGGUAAUACAGGGGUUGCAAGUUUUAUUCGGAAUCAUUGGGCGUAAAGCGUCUGCAGGUUGACAUAAAAGUCUUUUGUUAAAUAUCAGAGCUCAACUCGGAAUCUGCAAAAGAUACUAUAUGUCUUGAGUAUGGUAGAGGUAGGGGGAAUUUCCAGUGGAGCGGUGAAAUGCGUAGAUAUUGGAAAGAACACCGAUAGCGAAGGCACCCUACUGGGCCAUUACUGACACUCAGAGACGAAAGCUAGGGGAGCAAACGGGAUUAGAUACCCCGGUAGUCCUAGCCGUAAACGAUGGAUACUAGAUGUUGUGUACUUUAUUGUAUACAGUGUCGUAGCUAACGCG